GAUGAACGCUGGCGGCGUGCCUAAUACAUGCAAGUCGAGCGAACAGACGAGGAUCUUGCUCCUCUGACGUUAGCGGCGGACGGGUGAGUAACACGUGGAUAACCUACCUAUAAGACUGGGAUAACUUCGGGGAACCGGAGCUAAUACCGGAUAAUAUAUUGAACCGCAUGGUUCAAUAGUGAAAGACGGUUUUGCUGUCACUUAUAGAUGGAUCCGCGCCGCAUUAGCUAGUUGGUAAGGUAACGGCUUACCAAGGCAACGAUGCGUAGCCGACCUGAGAGGGUGAUCGGCCACACUGGAACUGAGACACGGUCCAGACUCCUACGGGAGGCAGCAGUAGGGAAUCUUCCGCAAUGGGCGAAAGCCUGACGGAGCAACGCCGCGUGAGUGAUGAAGGUCUUCGGAUCGUAAAACUCUGUUAUUAGGGAAGAACAAAUGUGUAAGUAACUAUGCACGUCUUGACGGUACCUAAUGAGAAAGCUACGGCUAACUACGUG
rnacentral:rRNA from 1 species